rnacentral:rRNA from 1 species
AUGCCCAGCCCGCCUCCAUGCGACACGGCCGCUCAUGGCGCAAUGGACGGUACCCGUCCCGGUGGCGGCGCAAAGCGCGGCUCCCUCGGGAGCACGGUGCAACAACGCCCACGUCGGCAACGGCCGACGCAUGGCGGUUUAGUCAUCAAAGGAUGCGGCCGCACCCGACACCACGCCUCCCUGCCGGUCCUUCGUGAGGACGCCCUCCGGCGCACGCGGGGCGCAGUUCGCUCUGUCCUUCCAUCGAAACGGCGGAAGCCACAGGCGCGGACUCGGCGCCCGGCAAGCCCUUCGCCACCGUGCUGUUCCCCAACAAAUCAUCCAUGGGGAACCUCACGGGAGAAAGAGGAUAACCUUAUCCCUUCGUCGAUUUUCAGUUUAAGCCAAUCUAUUGCUCUUAUUCUCAAAUUAGUCUUUCUUUAA